rnacentral:rRNA from 1 species
GACGAACCGUGCGAACGUUGUUCGGAAUCACUGGGCUUAAAGGGCGCGUAGGCGGGUUCUCAAGUCUGUGGUGAAAUCCUCCAGCUUAACUGGAGAACGGCCGUGGAUACUGGUGGUCUCGAGGGAGAUAGGGGCAAGCGGAACUGUGCGUGGAGCGGUGAAAUGCGUUGAUAUGCACAGGAACUCCGGUGGCGAAGGCGGCUUGCUGGAUCUCUUCUGACGCUGAGGCGCGAAAGCUAGGGGAGCGAACGGG